UGUUCCAUUUAAAAUAAGGCAGCUGAUGUAUACCUCCGGUAUAUCCGCAGAUAGAAUAUUUUUUAUUGGAAAAAUUUUCUUCCAUUUUCAGCGUUAAGACCGCUAGAGAGCAAGGCGCGCAUAAUGGACUACCCCGUAUAUGACAAGAAUUCUUUUACGUAUUUAUAUUUUGCUCAUCGAGUUCUUUUAUGAUAUUUUUAUUUUAUUUUUUUAGUUUUAUCUUGUGCACGACUACCUUCGCUUAGAAAACACUGUCUUAUAAUGCAUUAGUGUUUUUAUUCUACCUCCAGUGUCUACCUUAAAACAUUAAGUCUCCGUGACACGCGACUAAUUUUUUGGGGAUUGUAUAAAGUUCAUCAUUAAACAAAAAUUACCCAUGUUCUGUUUUAAUGUUACUAACAUUAUUUUAGAAUUUCAUUUCUUUUGAUUAUAACCGUUUUGGGUUUAAAAAUUUGUAUAUUCAUAAAAUUAUCGUUCAUGUGACUAACCGUUUCACCAUUUGAUCAAAACUAAAUAUCAGAUAUAGCGAAAUAUUUUGCGGUUAAUAAGUAGUCAUUUAAUUAAUCAAAUAAAAAUUAAGUACGCUUCGAAUUUUCAGUUCAUUGUGCAAUUAUCCAGUAAUUAACUACUCAAAAAUACAAUAACUCACCAAUCAGAAGCGAUCGAAGCCUGUCUUGAUGGAUUUAUUGUUUUAGUUUUGUUUCAACUGUUCAUUAUUCGUUAAAAUUGCAUGUAAGGGAAAAUCGGAUUGGGAGGCUUCUGUGCAAGAAUGCAUUCAACCAAAGAAAUAAAUAACGAAAGACAUAGUUCGUAAGACCGAAACGAACUUUUAUUCAGUUUCACAUUUCUUUUUAACGCAGUUUUUAUUUUUUCUUUAAUUAUUUAAAAUUGAAUCGUACGUUAUGCAGCACCUAAUGUUAGUUACGACAUACGUGCACCUUACUUGACUUAUAGGAGCGACUGCCAGAAGAAUUAGAUGUUUAUGCACUUUUGCGACCCUCUAAGUCUUUUUCGUUGAACUGCAGCCACGCAAGGAAGCCCUUCCCAUCCGUACAUUGUUUCGGAUUAAUUCAUUUAGUUCAAAUUCGGGUUUAAUUACACCGGGUGUCUGAAAAUAUUUCUGUAGCAGGUAAGCACUAACUAGAUAAAGAAUAAAUAUUCUAGUCAGAAAGCUCUCUGGUUUCCGGACACCCGGUAUAUAUUUACAAUGAUAUAAAAAAUUGAUAGAAUGUAAUAAUAAAAAGAAAAUGUCUUCUGUUUUUAAAUUUAUUAAAAGAGUGGCCCGACCGUGUUUAUCAAUUUAUUACUGUCACUGUCCGACAGUUAUUGAAGUUCUGAUACGUAGAGGUAAUUCUGAAUCUCACGGGCCAUUACCUUGGACUAUGUAUGGACAAAACAUCGUCCGUUUUCUACAUUUAUAUCUCUUAAAAACAUUGGCUGUGUAGAGUUUAUCUGGAGUUCAAUCUUAGGUUUUUUGCCGAAGCACAUGGUUAACUGUCGAUUCGAUGUUUUUGAAUUGUACAAUAUGAAUCUAUUAAAAAAAAAGGAUUUUUCACCGGUUGGGUCAAUCAAUCUGUCAGCAUUCUACUAUUGAACCAAUUACGUACAAGUUCAAUCAAUGAUGACAGUUGGAGCGUUCUUUUAAUAAAUUUGAAAACGCAGUCGGGCCAUAUAAGAAAUAUCUCUUAAUAAAAAGCGAUUUAUAUUGUUUUUAGCCCACGCUGGUUAACGAUCAGUUGGAUCAGUUGUAUGUGGAAAUGGAAUUACAAGGUCUUUCGUCUAGACUUACAUUAGAAGAGGGUAUCACUUCCAGUAGCAGCACCAGCAGCUGCGACGAAACUUCCGCCAAUCAGCAGAAGGUAAGACCAUCAAAAACACGAAAGACAAUGAAACAUCAACAACAUUGCGCAGCCUCAGCAACCAUUAAAUGGAUGCCAAUCCAUUGUUCUUUAAAGACAAUGGAAUAGAAAUGAAGAAGAAACGAAAGUCGUACAGUUCUUUGGUGAUGAUUUAUGAAGAGAACGCGCCAUUCCCAUCACCUGAUUCGUGCGGAGGUAACUGAGUGAUAAAUUAAAUACUCUGACGAUAACGUAACAGUGACGUUUUUGAUAUUUAUAAUAAUGCUGAAUGUUACGUAAUAUUUUACACUACGGACAUUUUGUACGUUUACUUAUUUAACAAAAAUUUUUUAAGAAUGUUGACUAAUAAUAGGCUAUUUUUAUAAAGAUGUUGUGAAAGUGCAUGUAAGGGUUUGCUAAAAUGUUUUAUUUCUGCUUUUAAUUAAAGGGAAAUUUUAAAUUUAAUAUUUUUGAUAAAGUCCGGCCUUAUUAAACUCAACUGAAACCAUUAUCUACAAUUUCCAAUAAAUUUUUGUUCAAACCUAAAGUGAAUUUGACUUUGUAGACAGCGAUUUGCAUGUAACAGACAGUUAUAUUAAUUAUUUUCAUUUUCGAUUAUUUCAAGUAAUUAGAAUACAGUAGCAAGCCCUAAGUGCUCCCAAAUUAAAUGUAUUUUUGAAAGAUACAGAUUUGUAUCGUAUAACUAACUGUAUGUAUAAGAUUUUGAUACACCGAAGUUUUGCUAUAAGUAUGCGGAAAACAUUUAAUUUUUAUUUAUUAUAGAAGCUUAACGUUGUUUUUUAUUGUCAAAUGUGUUGCGCAUACAUUGCCAAAAUCGUAAUAAAUGUUUAAUUUUUA
rnacentral:lncRNA from 1 species